UACCAUGAUGAUACUAUAACUUUACUUUUUCUGGUACCUCUUAUGUUAGAGCUUUCGGGCUCGAUGAAUAAAACGGACUUCUGAUA
rnacentral:snoRNA from 1 species